GAUUAUCGGAGGAAAGUGACCUGAAUUCAUAAUC
rfam:Myroides profundi strain D25, complete genome.